rnacentral:rRNA from 1 species
ACAUGCCUACAACAUAGUGUUAAUGUAUUGGAUCUCGUUAGAACUCUACAGUUAAGCAUGCUCAGGCUAGAGUAGUACUAGGAUGGGUGAUCACCCGACAAGUGCUAGUAUUUUACAUGCC